AGGGCUUUUCGACAUCUUUAACAUGACGGCUGACGUUGAUUUAGCCAUUGCAAGGGUCACGUUGAGGGAUGCAUGGGCGAGGAGCUUAGGGCUUGUUUGGAUUAAGCUUGCAUGUCUAGCAAGGGAUUUAUAGCAAAGUGUUGGAUAAGUUGUUGAACUGCAAGAUGUUUUGAUGAACCUUCUGUCAGCAGCAAUUUUAGAGGGGCCAUGUCUAGAGGCUGAGAUUGAAUUUAAGUAGGAAAAAAUGGCUAGUAAAAUGAGAAAGUAUUUAAGCAUAUGAUUUGAGGAUGAACCUUCCAUGUCUCUCUCUCUGACCUUUGAAAUUAUGAGCAAAUGAAGUGAGGAUUGAGUUAUGUGAUGAAACGGAAAGGAAAGGGUGUCCAUUUUAUAGGGCAAAAGUGCUACAGUCAAGAAUAUCAAUGGGACCCAAAGUUGACAACUGGCAGCCAACGUUCAAGAACAAUGUACUAAUCCUUCAAAGCUAUUUUAGAUUCUAAUCGAGGCGAGUGGUGAAUUUGAACAAAAUUCAUCUUGAAAUUAACGGAGUAAGCUCCUCUCAUAAUCUCGGUUUCUCCAUUACAGUAGCAGGUGGUUAACUGGUUAAAUUCAUGACAGUCCUUUGCUCUCUUAUGCUAGAACUUUUGCAAAUAAACCCAUUCCAGCUACAAAAUUUCGGCAGUGAAUGGUCAAUCGACUAUUCUGAAAAUUGUAAAGAGUAAGUAGUUAAAAGGAGAAAUAUCAAUCUCUGAAUAAAGAAAAUUAAAGAACCAAGCGAUAAUAAAUUUGUUUUUGGCAGGAGAUAUUUGUAUCUGAUUUGAUCUGUUUUGAUCGAUUAUUGUGAUUAAUUAAAUAGAUUUAUGUAUCAAAAUUUGAUUUAACCGAUCUAGUGCACUUCCGUGCUCACACUUUCUUUCUUUAUUAUUGGAACGUGUAACGCUCAACAGAUUCUAGAGUUUAUGUGCAACUGUUGGGUUAUUACUACUCAUUUUGCUUUUAGAAUGUCGACAGCGGGACCAAAAGGAAGGCGGGAAGCCAAUUCCAAAAAUAUCUGAGCACAAUCAAUAAUUGAUCCCGUCCUUAACUCUCAAAUUGUGCAGAUGAAGUUAAGGCGAAAUUAAAUCCAAUGCUUUUUGAAAGAUAGGAACAACAUAUUGGUAUUCAAAACUGAACCGCAUGCUUGAAUCUGGGAGCCCACAAAAUGACCAAGUUGAGGGAAAGGUUUCAACUAGGGAUGGCAAAACCUCGGGCCGGGAUUGCAAUGACCAGACCCUACCUGGAUGCAACUGGUCCCGGAUCGGGUCCGGGCCGGGUUUUAAUCCGGGUACCCGAAUUUAUAUUUUUUAAUAUUAUAUGUGUAUAUAUUUUUUAUUUUUUUGGUAAUUUUAUAAGUUUUAAAUUUAUUUCAAUAAAAUUUGACAUGAAAAUAUAAACUUUAAGUGUUUAAAACUUUAUAUAUGUAUAAUAAAUGAGUCAAAUAAAUAUAAAUAUUUAAAAUAAUAUAUAUUUUAUAAUAUUUUUUUAAUAAAAUCCGGGUUCCGGAUUUAUCAAGUGAUACCCAAUAUCGACCCGGCUUCAUACCCGGGCCGGGUAUUAACGCCCGGGUAUGGUCCGGGUCCGGACCGGACGGGUAUUUUUGCCACCUCUAGUUUCAACUUUGGCCUACGGGCUACUGCUACUGACCAAGGAAACUUAAUUAAAUUUGGAGAUAUAUUCUAAGAAAAAAUCUCUUAACAAGUUGUGUGAGUGUACCUACAGGAAAUAAUAUAAUUCGAUUCUAUCCUUAAACUCUCAAAUUGCAAAACAAGUUGAGGAAAUUGGCCUCACGUUUGCCCCAAAGAAAGGAAUGGAAAGCUGAAGAAAUGCAGUGCAUUUGGAUUUCAAAAUUUAGCUGCUUUAGCUGCGUAGGGUCUGUCUUAGCCACAUCUCGGAGCCCACUAGUUUCAAUUUGCAUGAUAAAGAUUAGGGUUGGCAAUGGGACGGGAUGGGAUGGGAUUUACCAAUCCUAGUCCCAUCCCGUAUAUGCAAAUGGGAUGAAAAAACGUUUCAGUCCCGUCUUUAUAUUUUUUUUUGGGACAAAAAUAUAUCUCAAUCUCGUCUCAAAAGAGAUGGGAUCCUGCGGGAUCCCAUCCCAUCGGGAAAAAUUGCCAUCCCUAAUAAAGAUUGCAUGAUGCUGGGCUUGGGACCAAAGUGCCACUAUCUUAAGGAAAGGAACGGCGUGGGGGACACUCCCACAAUUUUCGUAUUUUAGAUUAAAAAAAUAACUAUACAAAAAUUCACAUUAUUUUUAAAUAAUUGAAAUAAUGAAAAUUUUUUGGAUUUUUUUUUUUGUAUUGACUUAGAUCUCUUUAUAGACCAAUCAGUUUGCUUUAACAUAAGUUUAAUUUGACUAUUUUACUCCUAUAACAUAAAUUUACUAAAUUCUUACAAAAACAUUUGUUAUGUAUUGUGCCGCAAUAAUUUAGAUAUUUAGUUUUAUAACUUAUAUAAUCUAACACUUUUAGAUGAAAUCCAAUAAUUUUCAAUACCCCUGUUUAUAUGAUAUAAAUUUGACAUCCAAUAAAUUCAAUGCACAAAUGAGCAUACAUUCUCUUUUUGCAUGAUAAUGGCUAUGGAAAACACCAAUUUGCAUGUGGGGAGGAUGAUAGUUUGGGAAAAUACCCACAUAAUUUAAGAUUAGUUAUUGGGUUAAGAAUAUAAGCAAACAUCUCUCAAUUUUUAAGUAUAAGUUAGGCUUAUUGUCAUCUAUAACAUGAACUUAAAUGAUUAACAAUCAAACCCAAAACCAUGAUAAUGAGUCUGAAUCAGUUAAUCUACACCAAGAAAUAAAAAGGAUAAGAAAAACGAGGCUUUCACUACUAGUCCGAAACACGAAAGCGUAAAAGCGAGUUUGAUCAGUAAGUUAGCUAAAAUCUAAAUCUGCCCUCUACCUAUAUGAGCAAGAGUUUGAGAAGCAAAUUUUUUAUUUCAACGCCUUAAUAAAUUUAAACCGUUGAGCCAACUGACACCCUCUGUACUUAUAUCGGCGAGAAUUAGGGAUGACAAAAAUCCCCAUGGAGACGGGUACCUUCGGGGAUUUUCCCCAUUCGGGGAGGGUAUGAGGAUAAUUUCAUACCCAAUUUCUUAUUCGGGGAAGGGGACGGUGAAAUUUUUUUACUCAAUUUUUUAUUCAGGGAGGGGACGGGGAUGAGGUGGAAUCCCCAUUUCCCCAUUUUAAUUUUUAAUUUAAUUUUUAUUUUUUAAAAUUACUAGUAAAUAAAUAAUAAAUUUUGAAUUAUAAAAUUAUAAGUAUUGGUAAAAAUAAAAAAAAUAUCAAAUAUUUAUAUUAUUAAACUUUUAGGCCUAAUUAACUAAUUAAAGUCCUAAAUUUUUAUUUAUAACAUUAAAAAGACCGGACAGAUUCUAUUAGCCCAAAACUUUUGUUUUAAUUUUAAUAUUCAUUAAAUAUUUUAAACUUAAAUCUAUUUUUUAUUUAUCUUAAAUCUAUUUUUUAUUUAUUUUUAGAUGUUAUAAUUGCCCACAACAAAUCACAAUUUUAAUAUUUAAUCAAAUCUACUAUUUGCUCUUGAUUUGCUUCGACUUAACUAAUGUGUUGUAAAAGAAAUAGUCCACAUUUAUAAAGUGCCCAUGCCACCAUUGAAAAGUUAAUUUUGAAUCUAAAUUUGAUUUAUUUUUUAACAAUUUUAUAUUAGGCUAUUAAUUUGUUCAUAAUAGUUUUUAUCUCUUGCAUGCUGCGUUACUUACUAAUUUAAUGUAUGUGACUUUUGUAAUGGAUAUUAAUGUAAGAUAUAUUUCGAACUUUACUUUUAUUUGAAUUUUUUAUUUUAAUAUGAUUAACUCAAAAUCGAAAACAAAAAAAUGUAUUAGUUAUUUGGGGAUCGGGGACCCUCGGGGAUCCCAUGUUAUUAUUCAAGGAGGGGAUGAGGAUUCUCUUAAAUAAUUUUGACGGGGAUGGGGACGGGACGGGGACAUACGCAAAAUAUCGGAGAUGGAGACGGGGAGAUUGGUCCCCUCCCCUCCCCUCCCCAUUGUCAUCCCUAGCGAGAAUAACAAUCUAUUAAUAUGUAGACUUAAAAUACUAAGCCGGUCGCAAAAGAUAAAUAUUUUAAAAUGACUUAUCAACAUAAUAGUGAUUAGUGACUUGAUUUAACCAGUGAGACCGAAGGAAGAAAGGAGGCUCUGACCAUGGGACCAUAAUAAUGCCCAUAAUUUCAUUGCUUAAGCAGUGUGCAAAUAAUCUUUUUCUAAAGUAAGAGUUUGCAACUAUUGAUUCGUUUGCCUGCUUAAUUGUUCAGCAUUCGAAAUAGCCUCACUUAACAAAAUAACGGAAUAAAGCAAACAUCCUUAGAUUUGUUGGAUGACAUAUACCCGCUAAUUAUAUAAAUCUCACUUUGUUAGUGUACCACCAUGAAAUGAUUCACCCUCAUAUCAGGUCACAUCUUUCAUUCGGCCCAAUCAAUUUCAAGAAUAAAAGAGAAACUCAUAAGUUCUUGAGGAAAUUCGUCAUGAAUUCAAGGUAAUGUAUAAAAUUUUAGAUUGAUGUGACAUUUUUUUAGGGCCUCCAUAUCAUCGUCUGUCACUAAUUUGGUGGAGCAAUUUUCGCUUGGUUCAUAGCUUCUUGUUUGUCCAAUUUUUCCUCUGUGCCCACGUGAUAUUCUCUUGGAUUCAACUGAAAGCUAAUUAUCAUAGUAUGUUUGCAUCUACCAAGUUAACAUUUACAACUUUACUUAGGCCUUGUUUGUUACUAAAGUGUUGGAGUUUUCAAGUGAUAAUUAUUGUGGAAAAAAAUUAUAAUUAUAAAAUAAAAGUUGAAAAUAUAUUGUAAAUAUAAUUUUUUUUUUAAAUUAAAGAUUUUAUAAUUUUUUUCAUUAUGAAAUUAUGAGAUCAAAUCAAUUUACUUUCUAAACCGCAAUAACUAAUGUUUACCAAAUAAUUUAAUAAGUUACAAUAGAGCGAGCUCAAUACAAACAUCCAUCUUCUACAUACCACCACUCAUUUCAACAUAUCUCUUUCCAGUUCUCAUUUUGUCUUACAGUAGGAAUAUAUUAAAGAUACAUGACCAAUAUUAAAUAGAAUUUUAUUUCCUGACAAAAGAUUAACAAUAUACACAUAUGUGAGUUAACAUUAAUGCUGAAGCUCAUCAUCAUCACAGUUUCUAAUUAAGCAUGAAGCGAAGCAUAACUAUUGAUCAAAGCCAAGGCAUUGCUAGUCAUAUGGGCAAUCUUCACAAUCUGGCCUCUCACGACUUUCCCAUUAACCGUAUUUUUUUCAAAUCCAUCGCUGCAAGUAGUCUCAUCAGUCAAAGCAGCACUAACCCAAGUCUGUAUAUCAUUCAUUGUGAGUUCAAAGUUAGAAGCUUUGAUCAGACCCAUUUCGCCAAUAGACUUUCUGAGUUCAUCAACUGAAUCACUCAGCUCCUCCAAACAAUCUUGCAUGGCUUCCGCCUCUCUAGGCUUCAUUCCAAGGCUUUUCGAUAUCUUUAACAUGACGGCUGACGUUGAUUUAGCCAUUGCAAGGGUCACGUUGAGGGAUGCAUGGGCGAGGAGCUUAGGGCUUGUUUGGAUUAAGCUUGCAUGUCUAGCAAGGGAUUUAUAGCAAAGUGUUGGAUAG
rnacentral:lncRNA from 1 species